GGUUGUCAUGCCAAUGGCACUGCCCGGUAGCUAAAUGCGGAAGAGAUAAGUGCUGAAAGCAUCUAAGCACGAAACUUGCCCCGAGAUGAGUUCUCCCUGACUCCUUGAGAGUCCUGAAGGAACGUUGAAGACGACGACGUUGAUAGGCCGGGUGUGUAAGCGCAGCGAUGCGUUGAGCUAACCGGUACUAAUGAACCGUGAGGCUUAACCUU
rnacentral:rRNA from 1 species